rnacentral:rRNA from 1 species
ACGGGUGAGUAAAGCGUAAGAACUUGCCUUAGAGAGGGGGAUAACCCGGGGAAACUCGGGCUAAUACCGCAUAACGUGGAGACACCAAAGAGGGGGAUCGUAAGACCUCUCGCUCUAAGAAAGGCUUACGUCCGAUUAGCUAGUUGGUUAGGUAAAAGCUGACCAAGGCAAUGAUCUGUAGCUGGUCUGAGAGGACGAUCAGCCACACUGGGACUGAGACACGGCCCAGACUCCUACGGGAGGCAGCAGUGGGGAAUUUUGGACAAUGGGGGCAACCCUGAUCCAGCGAUGCCGCGUGAGUGAAGAAGGCCUGCGGGUUGUAAAGCUCUUUCAGUGGGGAGGAAGGCUCCGAAGUGAAUACCUUCGGGGAUUGACGUUACCCGCAAAAGAAGCACCGGCUAACUCUGUGCCAGCAGCCGCGGUAAUACAGAGGGUGCGAGCGUUAAUCGGAAUUACUGGGCGUAAAGGGCGUGUAGGUGGUUAUGUAAGUUUGAUGUGAAAGCCCCGGGCUUAACCUGGGAACUGCGUUGAAAACUGCAAGACUAGAGUUGGACAGAGGGUGGUGGAAUUUCCGGUGU